rnacentral:lncRNA from 1 species
GUGAAUUCCAAGCCAGAUAUGUGGAGGAGCACCAGCUCGGAGAAGGAGGCUGCGGAGCAGUGUUUGCUGGCUACCGGAUAGAAGAUCGUUUCCAGUAAGUGUUCAGAUGAUGGUAGUAAGACAGGCAGUAACGCAGAUAAUGGAUAAUAUCGUAAACUGAGACGUCUGCUGUGUUUCCACCUUUCAUUAUGUCAUACUGAGGAAAUGCUCACCAAUGCUCUGUGUCUUCUAGGUUGCCAUCAAACACAUUCCCAAAAAUAAAGUCUACUGCAAAGUGGCGGAUGAAAGCGGGAAGAAGCUCUCAGUGGAAGUGGCCAUUAUGGUUAAACUUGCAGGUGAAGCAGAAGGGUCAGUGGGAAUAUCUGCACCUGUGUCCUUGCUGGAGUGGUUCGACCUUGGCAAAGAGCUGAUCCUGGUGCUGGAGAGACCUGUCCCGCUGUGGACCUGCAAAAAUACAAAGCAGAAAAUGGAAGAACUUUAACAGAGGACAAGGCCAAGGUAGGUUGACUGGAAGAACCUUAGACUGUACAGCAUUCAAUCAAGGCAGAAAAGCAUGAACUCAUUAUUGUUUUUCAUCUUUUCCAGGUCAUUCUGAAGCAACUUGAUGCUGUAAAGGAACUUGAGGAUAAACACAUCUUUCAUCGGGACAUCAAGGGACAAAACAUUCUGAUUGAGACCGGCUCAGAUGUGCCUCGUGUUCGCAUCAUUGACUUUGGACUGAGCUGCUUUGUUAAACAGCGAUCUCUGUAUCGCAUCUUCUAUGGCACUCCUCUUCACAUCCCUCCCGAGUGGUACAUUAGGAGCUGCUACAGGUGUGGACCCACCACGGUGUGGCAAAUGGGAGUGGUGUUGUAUGAAGCGCUCAUGCACGAUACUUUAGUACCGCGAGGUUCCUCACAAAGAAACUGAGCAUCAAAAAGCGUCUGUCCACAGGUAAGAAAACUUCACACUUCCA